rnacentral:rRNA from 1 species
UACGUAGGUGGCAAGCGUUGUCCGGAAUUAUUGGGCGUAAAGCGCGCGCAGGCGGCCACGCAAGUCGGAUGUGAAAUCCCUCGGCUCAACCGAGGAACUGCAUCCGAAACUGCGAGGCUCGAGUCCUGGAGAGGGUAGUGGAAUUCCCAGUGUAGCGGUGAAAUGCGUAGAUACUGGGAGGAACACCGGUGGCGAAGGCGGCUACCUGGACAGGUACUGACGCUGAUGCGCGAAAGCCAGGGGAGCAAACAGG